CUACGUGCCAGCAGCCGCGGUAAUACGUAGGGCGCGAGCGUUGUCCGGAAUUAUUGGGCGUAAAGAGCUUGUAGGCGGUUUGUCGCGUCUGCUGUGAAAGGCCGGGGCUUAACCCCGUGUAUUGCAGUGGGUACGGGCAGACUAGAGUGCAGUAGGGGAGACUGGAAUUCCUGGUGUAGCGGUGGAAUGCGCAGAUAUCAGGAGGAACACCGAUGGCGAAGGCAGGUCUCUGGGCUGUAACUGACGCUGAGAAGCGAAAGCAUGGGGAGCGAACAGGAUUAGAUACCCUGGUAGUCCAUGCCGUAAACGUUGGGCACUAGGUGUGGGGGACAUUCCACGUCUUCCGCGCCGUAGCUAACGCAUUAAGUGCCCCGCCUGGGGAGUACGGCCGCAAGGCUAAAACUCAAAGAAAUUGACGGGGGCCCGCACAAGCGGCGGAGCAUGCGGAUUAAUUCGAUGCAACGCGAAGAACCUUACCAAGGCU
rnacentral:rRNA from 1 species